rnacentral:rRNA from 1 species
AGAGUUUGAUCAUGGCUCAGGACGAACGCUGGCGGCGCGCCUAACACAUGCAAGUCGAACGGAGUUGUGUUGAAAGCUUGCUGGAUAUACAACUUAGUGGCGGACGGGUGAGUAACACGUGAGUAACCUGCCUUUCAGAGUGGAAUAACGUUUGGAAACGAACGCUAAUACCGCAUAACAUAGUUUCCGG